rnacentral:rRNA from 1 species
GCCGGCGGGUCCCGGUGCCACCACCGCCCACAGGGCGGCGCGGCGUGCGGAGAUCGCGCGUAUCCGCGCCUCUCUGCCGCGGGCGGCGAUGGAAGGUCCACGGUACGUCCCCGAGAGCCCGGUGUGGGAGCCCACUUCCGCCGCCGCCACGCCGAGCAGCUCGAGGCCACAAACGGCGUUGUGCCCUCCGGAAGGCUCAACUCCGAAGGCCGGCGCCGAUGGUGGGGCGUGCCCGGCCACACGCUGGAGGCCGUCCUCGAGUACAUCGAGGGCGGCAACACGCCGAGGCUGGAGUACCCCGCUCCCCCGUCCUUCUCUCGCCGGCGUGGGAGCUCGUGGACGCCGAGGCGCAUGGACAUGGGGGCGUCCUCCUCCUCGUCCGGCUGCUCGUCCGGCUCUCCCUGCCUCCGCCCCGUCAAGCCGGAGCCCCAGGACACGCCUGUCAGCGCGCGCACCCGCAGUUCCGGCGUCCGCAUCGAUGACUCCGCUCCCGCCUCUGGCCGCCUCGUCCUCGUCAAGCUGAAGCCGGAGCCCGGCCUCCCCGCGGAGUACGAGGAGAUAGCCCGGCGCGGCUUCUCCGACGAGGACGCCCUAAAGUGGGUGCGGGACGACUACCUCCGUGACGAGAUGGUCCAGCAGCGCCGGGCCCUGGAGGAGAUAGCCGCCCGAAAGCGUGGGCGCGAGGACGAGCACGGCAUGGUGAUCCUCGACAGUGACGAGGACGAGGACGCCCCCGGACCGUCCAACCCGCCGCACCAACCUGGGGAGGGUUGCAGCAGGGACGGCGGCUGCGGAGGAGGCGACGACGACGACAACGACGGCGGC